UGAAGGAGAAUAUCAAAACUUCAUUUCUCUAUAAAGUACCAACUUGCAAUAAUUCAUUCUCACUCCAAAACAUUUUAUUUCCUAACAUAACGGAUCCCAUGAGCUGAACAGCCUCCUUCAUCUGCGGCCGCCCGCCCGCCUCUCAGAGGCAACGUAUGCCACCGAACCCACAUACCUCCUCUUUCGGCCUACAUGGUCUUCGCCAUGCGCCAACUUGGUCCAAACCAAGCACACGAUGAAAAUCUUGCUGAUCACUAGCGUUCCCAACGCCAUUGUCGGUUGCAUAAGUUACUACCUCUUCGCCUUUGGUGGGCCCUUCAGCGGUUUAUUAGGGAAACAUUUCUUCGCUCUCAGCAAUUUCCCCUCUCCCGCCGCGGAUUACAGCUCCUUCUAGUAUCAAUGGCCUUUUGCCAAUGCUGUUGCGGAAAAUAUUUGCCAGCAACAGCAAUGGCAAAAGCCCAUUGACACAAGAAGCUGUAAUCCGCGGCGGCAAAGGGGAAAUCGUUGAGGCGAAAAAGUGGUUUCCAAUGAAACCAUUGGAGGCCCCACAAAAAGCAAAGAGGUAGUACGUAGCUAAUGGCGCCGGCAGCGGCGUCGAGAAUGCUAGUCAGCAUGAUGUUUUUCAUUGUGUUGUUCGUUUUGACUGGGAGCCGACGCAGCUAGAGCAGGACGAAGACAGUGUAUGCUGAAAAUAGGAGGAAUGUGGCGCCGAUGGCAUAAGUUGCCACUGAAAGGCUGGCUGAGACGGUGUCAAAGCGGCCACAGAUGAAAUAGUUUACUCAACUUGAAAUAUUCUAGUGACGAUGCUAUGUAGGCUGUAGCAAUACUACCACCACAUUUCCAUUAUUUAAUAAUCUCUCUAUGUAACGAUGGUUUGGACAGUAAAUUAAAGUUAUUUAAUUAAUAGAGCGAUUAACAACUA